rnacentral:rRNA from 2 species
AAAUUGAAGAGUUUGAUCAUGGCUCAGAUUGAACGCUGGCGGCAGGCCUAACACAUGCAAGUCGAACGGUAACAGGAAGCAGCUUGCUGCUUCGCUGACGAGUGGCGGACGGGUGAGUAAUGUCUGGGAAACUGCCUGAUGGAGGGGGAUAACUACUGGAAACGGUAGCUAAUACCGCAUAACGUCGCAAGACCAAAGAGGGGGACCUUAGGGCCUCUUGCCAUCGGAUGUGCCCAGAUGGGAUUAGCUAGUAGGUGGGGUAACGGCUCACCUAGGCGACGAUCCCUAGCUGGUCUGAGAGGAUGACCAGCCACACUGGAACUGAGACACGGUCCAGACUCCUACGGGAGGCAGCAGUGGGGAAUAUUGCACAAUGGGCGCAAGCCUGAUGCAGCCAUGCCGCGUGUAUGAAGAAGGCCUUCGGGUUGUAAAGUACUUUCAGCGGGGAGGAAGGCGAUAAGGUUAAUAACCUUGUCGAUUGACGUUACCCGCAGAAGAAGCACCGGCUAACUCCGUGCCAGCAGCCGCGGUAAUACGGAGGGUGCAAGCGUUAAUCGGAAUUACUGGGCGUAAAGCGCACGCAGGCGGUCUGUCAAGUCGGAUGUGAAAUCCCCGGGCUCAACCUGGGAACUGCAUUCGAAACUGGCAGGCUAGAGUCUUGUAGAGGGGGGUAGAAUUCCAGGUGUAGCGGUGAAAUGCGUAGAGAUCUGGAGGAAUACCGGUGGCGAAGGCGGCCCCCUGGACAAAGACUGACGCUCAGGUGCGAAAGCGUGGGGAGCAAACAGGAUUAGAUACCCUGGUAGUCCACGCCGUAAACGAUGUCGACUUGGAGGUUGUGCCCUUGAGGCGUGGCUUCCGGAGCUAACGCGUUAAGUCGACCGCCUGGGGAGUACGGCCGCAAGGUUAAAACUCAAAUGAAUUGACGGGGGCCCGCACAAGCGGUGGAGCAUGUGGUUUAAUUCGAUGCAACGCGAAGAACCUUACCUACUCUUGACAUCCAGAGAACUUUCCAGAGAUGGAUUGGUGCCUUCGGGAACUCUGAGACAGGUGCUGCAUGGCUGUCGUCAGCUCGUGUUGUGAAAUGUUGGGUUAAGUCCCGCAACGAGCGCAACCCUUAUCCUUUGUUGCCAGCGGUUAGGCCGGGAACUCAAAGGAGACUGCCAGUGAUAAACUGGAGGAAGGUGGGGAUGACGUCAAGUCAUCAUGGCCCUUACGAGUAGGGCUACACACGUGCUACAAUGGCGCAUACAAAGAGAAGCGACCUCGCGAGAGCAAGCGGACCUCAUAAAGUGCGUCGUAGUCCGGAUUGGAGUCUGCAACUCGACUCCAUGAAGUCGGAAUCGCUAGUAAUCGUGGAUCAGAAUGCCACGGUGAAUACGUUCCCGGGCCUUGUACACACCGCCCGUCACACCAUGGGAGUGGGUUGCAAAAGAAGUAGGUAGCUUAACCUUCGGGAGGGCGCUUACCACUUUGUGAUUCAUGACUGGGGUGAAGUCGUAACAAGGUAACCGUAGGGGAACCUGCGGUUGGAUCACCUCCUUACCUUAAAGAA